AGAGUUUGAUCCUGGCUCAGGAUGAACGCUGGCGGCGUGCCUAAUACAUGCAAGUCGAGCGAACUGAUUAGAAGCUUGCUUCUAUGACGUUAGCGGCGGACGGGUGAGUAACACGUGGGCAACCUGCCUGUAAGACUGGGAUAACUUCGGGAAACCGGAGCUAAUACCGGAUAAUCCUUUUCCUCUCAUGAGGAAAAGCUGAAAGUCGGUUUCGGCUGACACUUACAGAUGGGCCCGCGGCGCAUUAGCUAGUUGGUGAGGUAACGGCUCACCAAGGCGACGAUGCGUAGCCGACCUGAGAGGGUGAUCGGCCACACUGGGACUGAGACACGGCCCAGACUCCUACGGGAGGCAGCAGUAGGGAAUCUUCCGCAAUGGACGAAAGUCUGACGGAGCAACGCCGCGUGAGCGAUGAAGGCCUUCGGGUCGUAAAGCUCUGUUGUUAGGGAAGAACAAGUACCAGAGUAACUGCUGGUACCUUGACGGUACCUAACCAGAAAGCCACGGCUAACUACGUGCCAGCAGCCGCGGUAAUACGUAGGUGGCAAGCGUUGUCCGGAAUUAUUGGGCGUAAAGCGCGCGCAGGUGGUUUCUUAAGUCUGAUGUGAAAGCCCACGGCUCAACCGUGGAGGGUCAUUGGAAACUGGGGAACUUGAGUGCAGAAGAGGAAAGCGGAAUUCCACGUGUAGCGGUGAAAUGCGUAGAGAUGUGGAGGAACACCAGUGGCGAAGGCGACUUUCUGGUCUGUAACUGACGCUGAGGCGCGAAAGCGUGGGGAGCAAACAGGAUUAGAUACCCUGGUAGUCCACGCCGUAAACGAUGAGUGCUAAGUGUUAGAGGGUUUCCGCCCUUUAGUGCUGCAGCUAACGCAUUAAGCACUCCGCCUGGGGAGUACGGUCGCAAGACUGAAACUCAAAGGAAUUGACGGGGGCCCGCACAAGCGGUGGAGCAUGU
rnacentral:rRNA from 1 species